AACGCAAAUUGCGCCCUUUGGUAUUCCGAAGGGCAUGCCUGUUUGAGUGUCUUAUAAACCUCCAACUAUAGUUUAUUCUGUAGUUGGCUUUGGGUGUUGCCAGCGAUGGCUCGCCUUAAAUGUCUAAGUGGAAUGCAUAAUAAGUUCUUGCAACCCUCCACUCUAACACACUUUAUAUUCUGACCUCAAAUCAGGUAGGACUACCCGCUGAACUUAA
rnacentral:misc_RNA from 2 species